AUUAAACUUGAAGAGUUUGAUCCUGGCUCAGAACGAACGCUGGCGGCGUGGCUAAGACAUGCAAGUCGAACGCAUUAAUCAAUUGAGCAAUCGAGAGAUUGAUGAGUGGCGAAAGGGUGAGGAAUAGAUAGGUAACGUACCCCGAACUCUGGAAUAGCGUCAUUAACCGCAAGGUUAAUUUCCGAAAGGGGCGGUAAUACCAGAUGACGUUGUUGUUUGCAAAAACGACAACCAAAGAUUCAUCGGUUUGGGAGCGGCCUAUUUCCUAUCAGCUAGUUGGCGAGGUAAUGGCUCACCAAGGCUACGACGGGUACCGGGACUGAGAGGUUGGCCCGGCACAUCGGAACUGAGACACUGUCCGGACCUCCACGGAGGGCUGCAGUAACGAAUAUUGGGCAAUGGGCGAAAGCCUGACCCAGCGACGCCGCGUGUAGGAUGAAGCUCUUCGGAGUGUAAACUACUGUCAGGGGUAAGAAAGUCCGCAAGGAUUGAUCUAACCCAAAGGAAGUCACGGCUAACUCUGUGCCAGCAGCCGCGGUAAUACAGAGGUGGCAAGCGUUGUUCGGAAUCAUUGGGCUUAAAGCGUGUGUAGGCGGACCAGUAAGUGUCUUGUGAAAACCCCCGGCUUAACCGGGGAAUUGUUAGGCAAACUACUGGUCUUGAGGUAGGCAGGGGUGCUUGGAACUCUUGGUGGAGCGGUGAAAUGCGUAGAUAUCAAGAGGAACGCCUGUGGUGAAAACGGAGCACUGGACCUAUUCUGACGCUGAGACACGAAAGCGUGGGGAGCGAACGGGAUUAGAUACCCCGGUAGUCCACGCUGUAAACGAUGCCUACUAGGUGUUGGAAAUUCUGACAUUUUCAAGACCGAAGCAAAAGUGUUAAGUAGGCCGCCUGGGGAGUACGGUCGCAAGGCUAAAACUCAAAGGAAUUGACGGGGGCUCACACAAGCGGUGGAGCAUGUGGAUUAAUUCGAAGCAACGCGCAGAACCUUACCUGGGUUUGACAUGGUUGGAUGCCUUACUGGAAACAGUGUAGGCUGCCCGCAAGGGUGAAACUUUCACAGGUGCUGCAUGGCUGUCGUCAGCUCGUGUCGUGAGAUGUCGGGUUAAGUCCCAUAACGAGCGAAACCCCUGCUGUUAGUUACUACCGCCGCAAGGCGGGGACUCUAACAGGACCGCCGGUGUUAAACCGGAGGAAGGUGGGGAUGACGUCAAGUCCUCAUGGCCUUUAUGCCCAGGGCGUCACACGUGCUACAAUGGUAACUACAGAGCGACGCAAGACUGUAAAGUGGAGCAAAUCGCUUAAAAGUUAUCUCAGUCCGGAUUGAGGGCUGCAAUUCGCCCUCAUGAAGUUGGAAUCGCUAGUAAUCGCGAAUCAGCCACGUCGCGGUGAAUGUGUUCCUGAGCCUUGUACACACCGCCCGUCAAGCGAUGGGAGUCGGAAGUACCCAAAGUCGGCUUGUCAACCUGCAAAGGAGACGGCUGCCUACGGUAAGUUCGAUGACUGGCGCUAAGUCGUAACAAGGUAGCCGUAGGGGAACCUGCGGCUGGAUCACCUCCUUUCUAA
rnacentral:rRNA from 1 species